UACAGAGGGGGCAAGCGUUGUUCGGAAUUACUGGGCGUAAAGGGCGCGUAGGCGGCCGACUAAGUCAGACGUGAAAUCCCCAGGCUCAACCUGGGAACUGCGUCUGAUACUGGAUGGCUUGAGUUCGGGAGAGGGAAGUGGAAUUCCAGGUGUAGCGGUGAAAUGCGUAGAUAUCUGGAGGAACACCGGUGGCGAAGGCGGCUUCCUGGACCGACACUGACGCUGAGGCGCGAAAGCCAGGGGAGCAAACGGG
rnacentral:rRNA from 1 species